GCAUUAUUCAAAUAUAUGCUGGUUAUUUAUUAUUCUUUUUUAUUUUAACAUGAUAUAUUUUUGCUAGACAAAUUUUAGAAGACAAAAAUAUUAUAAAAUAUAUGGUAUAUUUUUUGUGAUCUUGUGUUGUGCAAUCUGCUUGUAACGAGUGUUGUAGCCUUUGAGAGAACAUCUAAAAAACACGUUUAGAGAGGCAUUUUAUAAAAUAUUAAUCUGUUUGAAAUUUCAUUUGUUAAAAUUAAACUACUACACAGUGAAUGCUGACAGAUUUACAAAUCAAUCUAAACGUUUCAGUUUUUUCCCCUAUCUUCUUCGAUUUAGUACCAGUUUUUCCAAUUACCUCCCUUAAGGACAGAGACAAUUGUCCUGCAAAAAAAAAAACAAAUUAGAAUUUCAGCAACAUGUAUAUUCAACCAUAAUUUACCUCUUUCAUAUUAAGUGUACCCACACUCAUCAUAUAUAAUUUUGUUUAGUAUAAAUAGGCUUUCAUUUCA